GAUGAACGCUGGCGGCGUGCCUAAUACAUGCAAGUCGAGCGAACGGACGAGAAGCUUGCUUCUCUGAUGUUAGCGGCGGACGGGUGAGUAACACGUGGAUAACCUACCUAUAAGACUGGGAUAAGUUCGGGAAACCGUAUCUAAUAUCGGAUAAUAUUUUGAACCGCAUGGUUCAAAAGUGAAAGACGGUCUUGCUGUCACUUAUAGAUGUAUCCGCGCUGCGUUAGCUAGUUGGUAAGGUAACGGCUUACCAAGGCAACGAUGCAUAGCCGACCUGAGAGGGUGAUCGGCCAAACUGGAACUGGGACCAGGUCCCAGCUCCUAAGGGAGGGAACAGUAGGGAAUCUUCCGCAAUGGGGGAAAGCCUGACGGAGCAAAGCCGCGUGAGUUAUAGAAGUCUUCGGAUCGUAAAACUCUGUUAUUAGGGAAGAACAUAUGUGUAAGUAACUGUGCACAUCUUGACGGUAACUAAUCAGAAAGCCACGGCUAACUACGUG
rnacentral:rRNA from 1 species